GACUAAUUUAAAAAAAAAAAAAGGUGAUUCAUUCAUUUCCUCCACCAGAGCCACAUCUCAGCCUCAGGGCUCAAGGAUGGCAGCAGCAUGAGGUUAAUUUUGGACUCACAGGCUGCUUGCUUGAAAACUGUUAGCUUCACUUCUCAUCUCCUUGUGGGUAGGGAGCUGCCACUGAUGGCAUUUACAGAAUAACAAAUGAGGAUUAAGCUUUCUAUUUGGGAGAUAUUUUGAGCAAAAUUAAACAUGGUGUAGGCAGAGUGGAUUAGAUUGAAAUGAUCCCCAUUCUGACAAAGCCCUUAAAACACACACACACACACACACACACACACACACACACACACACACACAUAAAGCCAGUAUUAACCCUCAAGAACAAGGUAAAUCACAAAACAUCUGCAGUGUCCUACCAGUUUUCCAGUAAUUGCAAUAGAGUAUAAUUAAGGUAACUAAGUCUAAGGACUCUGUGUUUAAAUGCUGGCUGUACCACCUGCUAGCUGUAUAACCUUGAAAACAUAUUUGAUCUCCCUAAGUUUCAGUUUCCUCCAAUGUUAUAUUGGGGUUAAUAACGACAGCUAACAUUCAUUGAGUAUAUAUCAUGCCCAGAGUGUCCAUUCACUUAUUUAUUUCUGAUUUAACAAAUUGGAAGAUGGGUCAGAAGAAAAUACUCAGACUUAAGCCCAAAGUUAUGGAAAUUACAGAAAAGAUAGUAAAAGAUAAAUUGACACAGCAAAUAGGUUUAACACAUGUGCAUCUGGAGUCCCAGAAGGAGAUGUGAAAGAAUAUGGAGAAGGUUAUUAUUUGCCAGCCACUGCUUUAAGUACUUUACAGAUAUAUCUUAUUUAAUCCUCAUAAAAUCUCUCUGAGGUAGGCACUAUUCUUGCCACACCCAUUUUACAGAUGAGGAAACCAAGGCACCAAGUUAGGUAACUUGCCCAGGGCCACACAGCUAGUAAGUGGUAGAGCUGAGAUAUAAACCCAAGCAGUCUGAGCUGUGUCCACAUUUUAAACCAGCCUUAUUCUGAGGACCAUACAUAUGUCAACUCAUUAAAUGCUCACCAAUAAGUCCUAUGAGUACUAUCAUUAUCCCCAUUCUAUAGGUGAAAGAGGUUAGGCAAUUUGGCCAAGAUUACAUAAUUAGGUAAUGAUAGAGCUAAGAUACAAUGCCAGACAAGUCUGUCUCUAAAACCCACAAUCAUAAUUUUUAUGCUAUAUCCUCUGUCAGUAAUAGUACCUUUAUCAUAGAGUUCUUUAGUCCAGUCCUGGCAUACACUCAGAUAUUAUUAUCAUUUACGAUUACUAUUACUGAUUGUCCUCUGAUAGUUGUAGCUCCCUAAGAGCUCAAGUUGCAAUCACAGUGAGGUGGGAGUAGCAGGAAUGUAUAGCAUGCUGCCUGAAUAUGACACCCUGCUCUCAGCAGGUUCCUAAGAUGAGGAAACUAUUAGAGUUCCUAAAAUGAAGGUCCUUGCUAGAGAUUCCAUGUAUUUCAGUUCAUUUACUCUCUUUGCCUAACUGCAGUAUAGAAGGUGACUGGAUACCAGAAAAAUUGUAGGGAAAGAGGAAGGGAGUUUUAAUUCUUUGUUUUAAUCCUUUGUUGGGAGUUUUAAAAUUUGAUAGAAUUCCAAUCUGUCUUGACUGAGAGCAAGCUAGCACAGAAUACCACAUCACACUCCCCAAAUGAUGCUAAGGCAUUUAUAAUAGUAGGUUUUUUUUUUUUUUUUUUUUUUUUGAGAUGGAGUCUCACCCUGCCACACAGGCUGGAGUGCAGUGGCACGAUCUCAGCUCACUGCAACCUCCACCUCCUGGGUUCAAGCAAUUCUCAUGCCUCAGCCUCCCAAGUAGCUGGGAUUACAGGCACAUGCCACCAUGCCCGGCUAAUUUUUAUAUUCUGAGUAGAGACGGGGUGCUGUGAUUACAGGCGCGAGCCACCAUGCCCGGCCAUAUAUAUAUAUAUAAUUUUUUUUUUAAUAAGCCUUAACUCUAUGCCAACUACUUUUCCAAGUGCAUAUGUUAAUUUAUGUGUUCCUUAGAAAAGCCCUAGGAGAUGCAUAAUAUUAUCUGCUCACUUUAUAGAUGAGGAAAUUAAGGCCUGGUGUUCAAGGCCACACAGUCAGUAAGUGAUAAAACUGGAAUUUGAACAGUUUUGCCCCAGAACCCAAGAUCUUAUGUUCCUCUCACUUCAAUACUAGUUUUUUUUGAGAUGGAGUCUCGCUCUGUUGCCCAGGCUGGAGUGCAGUGGCAUGAUCUCUGCUCACUGCAACCUCUGCCUCCCGGGUUCAAGUGAUUCUCCUGUCUCAGCCUCCUGAGUAGCUGGGAUUACAGACAUGCGCCACAACGCCUGACUAAUUUUUGUAUUUUUUAGUAGAGACAAGGUUUCACCAUGUUGGCCAGGCUGGUCUCGAACUCCUGACCUCAGGUGAUCCACCCGCCUCAGCCUCCGGAAGUGCUGAGAUUACAGGCAUGAGUCACCGCACCCAGCUUCCAACACUAGUUUUAAUACUCUUCCCACAUUACCGAUUACCCCUCUAUCUCAUGAAUGAAACUAAAUAUUAAAUAUAUAAUUGUAAAGUACAAGGUGAUUUUCAUGAAGUUGUUUUGCGGUCCUCUUAAAAAUGCUUCCCAUCUCUCACCAUUACAUUGUACUCUGCUUUUUUUUUUUUUUUUUUGAAAUAGGAUCUCAUUCUGUUGCCCAGGCUGGAGUGCAGUGGCGUGAUCUCAGCUCACUGCAACCUCUACCUUCUGGGCUCAAGUGUCACCUCUGCCUCCUGAGUAGGUGGGACUACAGGCAUGCACCAUCACACCUGGCUAUUUUUUUUGUUUUUUGUAGAGAUGGGGUUUUGUUAUGUUGCCCAGGAUUGUCUCAAACUCCUGGGUCCACACAAUCUACCUGCCUAGGCCUUCCAAAGAACUGGGAUUACAGGUGUGAGCCACUGCCCCCAGCCCAUUGUACUUUGAUUCUUUUGCCUGCAAUGUUUUCAGCCCUUCGCCCAAGGUGAGAUUUUUGAUAAUACAAAAGUUCUGAAUCCAUUUGACAGGGUUUACUUGUCAACAAAGUGGAUACAGGUAUCUUCUUCUUGUCCACAGCCAAAUCUUGUGGCGAUAGUCAGAUAGUAGAAGGUGGUGGUGGGGGAUGUCUACUCUGCCUUUUUUUUUUUUUUUUUUUUUUUUUAAGGAGAUAGGGUCUUGUUCUGUCACCCAGGCUGGAGUACAGUGGCACGAUCAUAGUUCACUGCAGCUUCGAACUUCUGGGCUCGAGUGAUCCUCUCACCUCAGCCUCCAAGUAGUUGGGAUGACAGGUGCAUACCAACAUGCCCAGCAAAUUUUUCUUGUGGUUUUUUAAGAGAUGGGGGUCACGCUGUGUUGCCCAGGUUGUUCCUGAACUCCUGACCUGAAGGGAUUCUCCUGUCUUAGCCUCCCAAGUCACCGCAAUUACAGGUGUGAGCCACUGUGCCUGGCUCCCCUCUGCCUUUCGUUACCUUUCCUAGGGCAGGAAUUGUUGGCAUAUACUGGCACCAGUGCCCAACAUUGUUUCACUUUAUUUUGGAUCCUAAAAAAUUAAUUUCUCCUCAAUUUAUUUAUGAAGAAAUAUAUCUUAUCAAAAGACCAAGGAAGCAGGAUUUGUAAGCAAAGAAGAUUUCAGGAAUUUGUAGGUUUUACAUGUUCUUCUACCUCAGAUAUAUAGCUGACUCUUUUUUUGGGAAGGGGCACAGAAAAAUUUAUGUACCCUGUUAAAUAGCAGUAGACAAUAGUUACGGUCUGCUAGCCCCAUCUACUUCUCAUGAGAAGAAAAAAGGUCUACAAAGGCAUUGUCACAGAGGUUUUUGGCCUCUUGUAAGAGACUUUCCUGAGGUUUUUAUAUAGCCAAGUGUUUUGCUUAUUUACUACUUUGUGGCACUGGAUCAAAUAAUGUAUGCUGAUAUAUAAUACAUUGAUUAAUGCAUUUUCCAAACUCAUGACCAGCUUGAAAUAUAUUGUUUUUUGGUUUUUUUUUUGAGACAGAGUCUCGCUCUGUUGCCCAGGCUGGAGUACAGUGGCACGAUCUCGGCUCACUGCAAGCUCCACCUCCCGGGUUCACACCAUUCUCAUGCCUCAGCCUCCCGAGUAGCUGGGACUACAGGUGCCCGCCACCACGCCCAGCUAAUUUUUUUUUUGGUAUUUUUAGUAGAGACGGGGUUUCACCGUGUUAGUCAGGACGGUCUCGAUCUUCUGACCUCGUGAUCCGCCUGCCUCGGCCUCCCAAAGUGCUGGGAUUACAGGCAAGAGCCACCGCGCCUGGCCCAGCUUGAAAUAUUUUUAUAGAAUGUCUCAGAGUCUAUAAAAUAAUUUUUAAUAUUUUGUAAUAUUUUUAGAGAUAUCAGUGAAGGAUUUAAAAAAUAAGAGACAGACAGUAUAAUGUAAAAAUUUUCUCAUGGGAUAUUUUUUGUUACCAAUGUGAAUUUAUUGAUACUACCUUGAUGCUAAUAGUGAAUUCUUUGAAGGCAAGACAUUCAUUUGUUUUUUAGUUCACAGUGAACCUAACAUAGUAACUUGAAUGUAAUAGAUGCUUCAUUAUUGUUUGUUGAAUGUAUGAAUGAUUAAAUAAAUAAAUUUAGUACCAUCA
rnacentral:lncRNA from 10 species